rnacentral:lncRNA from 1 species
AUUCUGCCCACAUUUGACCUCAACAAGAUUAUAGGCCUGUACCUGAGGUGCACCAGUGGGGAAGUUGGUGCCACGUCUGACCUUGACCUCCUGGAUCUAUCUGUUUUCAAAAACGGUUGGUGAUAAUAUCACCCAAAGCAACCAGUGACUAGAAUGGUCUUAGUAUUACAGUGGAACUGACCAUUCAGAACAGACAGGCCAAAUUGAGGUGGUACUUUUUGUCUCUGUCCUGAUGAUCAAAGUCCCCAAGGAACCAGUCAGAGACAGAAAGAAGCAGAAAAACAUUAAGCACAGUGACAGUAUCACUUUUGAUGACAUUGUCAAGAUUGCCCAACAGAUGCAGCACCAGUCUUUAAUUAGAGAACUCUGGAACCAUAAAAUAGCUUUGGAGUACUGCACAGUUUGUGGGCUGUAAUGUUGAUGGCCACCACCUUCAUGAUAUCAUAGAUGACAUCAACAGUGAUGCAGUGGAAUGCCCAGCUAGUUUA